CCCUAGUGAUGUGUUAAGAUGUCUGUGAAAACAUUUGUGAGUUCCACAGCAUAGUCCGUCAGUGCUCGUCCAAGGAUGUUAUCAGGACCUGGAGCUUUGCGUGUACUGAUUUUGGCAAGGGAUCUCCACACACUGUCUGGGGAUUUGUUCACCACAGUCUGCAGAGUGGGCUUGUAGUCUGUGAUGGUUUGUAUUCCUUGCCACUGCCUCCAAGUAUCUCUGCUGUCGCUGAAGCUUUGCUGUAGCUGAUGCCACGUGACAGGUUUGCCCUUGCUGUUUUUUGGCUCACCUAAUUCCCGGCUCUGAAGGCUUGCAUUUUUCAACCUUAGGAGCAUUUAAACCUGACCUGUGAGCCAUGGUUUCUGAUUGGCCCGGACAGUGAUAGUCCUGGUGUCACGACCUGCAGGAUCGGCAAGGUGCUGAUCAGAAUCUCUCCACUCCUAGCCCUCCUUCUCUUCUCUUUUUCCUUCUCUCUCCCCCUCUCUCCUUCUCUCCCCUGUUUUGCCGGAACUCAUGGCGGCUUCACGCCCUUGGUCCACGCCUUCCUGGAUUGGGAACACCUGGGCCUCAUCAGACCAGCUGGUAUAUUAAAAGGAGGAGAUCAGCUGUUCAACGCUGGAUUGUUGUGAAGGCUCUAAUUCCCCGGACCCGUCCCCGUGUUUCCCCGUGUGGAGUGUGGAAGGAGUGACUGGUCGCUAGCGGAGAAGAGAGAGGCUGAACUGAGCGCGUGUGUGAUUUCCCCCGUUUUCCCUGGAGCCCUGGACCCCUGCCCCUCACGUCUUGUAUAUAGCACUAACCCCUCACUGUCUGUACAUACACUUGGUGAAGAUCUGUAAAUAAACCGUCUCUGUUUAAACGCUA